GAAGACCACCACUUUGAUAGGUCAGGUGUGGAAGUGUAGUAAUACAUGAAGCUUACUGAUACUAAUCGCUCGAUUGGCUUGAUUGCACCCAUUAU
rnacentral:rRNA from 1 species